rnacentral:rRNA from 1 species
GACGAACGCUGGCGGCGUGCUUAACACAUGCAAGUCGAGCGGUAAGGCCCUUUUGGGGGUACACGAGCGGCGAACGGGUGAGUAACACGUGGGUGACCUGCCCUCAGCUCUGGGAUAAGCCUGGGAAACCGGGUCUAAUACUGGAUAUGACUCCAUGACGCAUGUUGUGGGGUGGAAAGCCUUGUGCGGCUGAGGAUGGGCCCGCGGCCUAUCAGCUUGUUGGUGGGGUGAUGGCCCACCAAGGCGACGACGGGUAGCCGGCCUGAGAGGGCGACCGGCCACACUGGGACUGAGACACGGCCCAGACUCCUACGGGAGGCAGCAGUGGGGAAUCUUGCGCAAUGGGCGAAAGCCUGACGCAGCGACGCCGCGUGAGGGAUGACGGCCU